UCUCAGCACUGAGCCGGGGGUGUAGUCCCAGGUACUGGGGAGACUGAGGCAGGAAGAUCACUGGAGUCCAGAAGUUCUGGGCUGUAGUGCGCUAUCCCCAUUGGGUGUCCACACUGUUUGGCAUCAAUAUAGUGACCUCACAGGAGUGGGGGGACUACUAGGUUGCCUAACGAGGGGUGAAGCAGCCCAGUUCUGAAAUACAAGAGGUCAAAACUCCCAUGCUGAUCUGUAUAUCAGCAAUGUAUACAGUCUUGAGGAAUCACACAGGACAGAAAAUACCUGCAUUU
ensembl:misc_RNA Metazoa_SRP Metazoan signal recognition particle RNA